UAGGCGCGGCCAGAGGUAAAUUGGCCGGACGAGACCGGCCCAACGAAAUUCCCGAUGUGAACCUCUUGUCCUAUCGUGACGAACGAGAAGGUAGACGAGAAGCAGCGAAACUUCGUCCAAGUUUCGAUUUUUUUCGAAGUUUCCAAGGCCGCGCGGCCUCGCCGUUCCCCCCGGAUCCCCUACUUCACCAUGGACGCGGCGGUGCCUCCGCCCCUCCCACCGCGCCACUCCCAUCUUCGGGACCAACAGCAAGCAAAGCCUCCCCGACCCCCGACAUGGCUCCAUCGACCGCGGCCGGCGCGGCCGGCGCGGCGGCGGGGUGGCUGGUGUCGCCGCUGCUGCAGUGCCUGGGCGACCGGGCCAGGUCCUUCGCGGAAGACCUCGCGCGAUACCUCCCGGGAGGAUCCGGGGACGCGCCCGCCGACCUCGCGCGCCUCUCUGGCGAGCUCCUCCGCCUCCAGAUGAACGCCGCCGACGUCGAGCGCGCCCGGCGCCGCCCCUCUGACCCCGCCCUCGUCGCCUGGCUCCACCGCCUCAGGGACGCGGCCCACGACGCCGACGACCUCCUCGACAACAUCCACUACGGCCGCCUCGCCGACUCCCUCGCCGCCCCACGCCAUAAGCUCCGCCGCAUCCUCGACUUCUCCCUCUCCCUCUGCCGCCGCCUGUUCCGCUCCGACGAGCCCCUCAGUCGGCUCCCCUCCGUCCUAGAGAAUCUCGUCGCCGCCUCCGCGGCCUAUGCUGAGAUCGCGCACCUCGUCAAGCUGGACGCGGCCGCCUCUCCGCGGCUUGGUAACGAGCCGGCCGGGAACUUUAGCUCUGCCGUCCCGGUCGACGACACUCUCUUUGGCCGGGGCCGCGAGCUCGCCGAACUGAUGGAAAGGUUAGUCGGGUGUAGUGACCCUGGCCCUGCUCAACUCGGGAACCAGGGCGUCCCGGUUGUUGCCAUUGUUGGCGAUGGUGGCAUUGGCAAGACGACGCUGGCGCAGAUGGCCUUCAAUGAUGUGAGCAUCCAGGCUCACUUCGAUCUCCAGAUGUGGGUGCGCGUCUCGAGCUGUAUGAAUCUAAUGCAGCUUACUAGGGAGAUACUGCAGGCGGCUACAAAGGGGAAGGAGUCGAAGGACUAUCCUGGGUUAGUCAAUUUUGAUUCUCUGCAAGGCUUGCUGCGUUCUGCCGUUGAAGGGAAGAGGUUCUUGCUCAUCCUUGAUGAUGUUUGGGAUGAUAGUGGGAGGAAGAUUUGGGAGAACGUGGACCAGUGGAAGGAGCUACUAUCACCUCUGAAGAAUGGUGAGCAAGAUAGCAGAAUAGUUGUGACUACACGCAUGAAGAUGGUGGCUGACAUGCUAGGUGUAAGGAUCCCAAUGAUGUUGGCUGGAUUGGGUACCGAAGAGCAUUGGUUGUUGCUCAAGAAGCACGCAUUGGGUUGUGAGAAGAGUUGUGAAUAUCUGCAGUUGCAGGAGAUUGGGAGAAAGAUUGCUUUGAAGCUAAGAGGAUCCCCUCUCGCAGCUAAAGUUAUUGGCGGGAUGCUUAAUGUUGAUCGAAGGGCAAGGUAUUGGAACAGUAUCUUGGAGACAGAUAUUCAUGGUGAUGUUGUCACCACACUUUUGUCAAGCUAUUAUCAUCUUCCACCACACUUGCAGUGUUGCUUUGCAUAUUGCAGUAUAUUUCCGAAGAAUUGGAAGUUUGAGCCUAAGAAACUUGUUAGGAUGUGGAUAUCACAGGGUUUCAUUCAGAUGGAAAAUGGCAGAAGCAUGGAGGAUUGUGGUAAAGAGUAUUUCAAACAACUUUUGUCAAGGUCAUUCUUUCAGACGGUCAAGCAAGGAAACAAAAGGCUGUAUCUCAUGCAUGACUUGAUUCAUGACUUGGCACAAAUGGUUUCUGAUGGUGAUUGUGGGAGGGUCGAAGGUGACAUGUCCAGAAACAUACUGCCAACCAUCAGACACUUGUCAGUUUCAAGUAACUGUUUAGGAAAGAUAAAAGACCAAUAUGAUCUGAAGAGAUUAAGGACACUGAUUGUGUUUAGAGAUCCUUUGAUGCCCCUGAGUCCUAUCCCAGAUGGUUUUCUCGCUGAGAUAAAGAAUGUGCGCACGUUGGAUUUUACCGGAUGUGAUAUAUCCAAGUUACCUGAAGAAAUUGACGUACUAACUCAUCUACGCUACAUAGCACUUCCUGAUACUAUCAAGACCAUAUCUGAAUCUGUGAGCAGAUUAUUGCAUCUUCAGACUUUUGAUAUUCCGAAGAAGUGCCAGCUUGAUGGAUUUCCUGAGGGUAUGCACCAGUUGACCAGCUUGCGAUAUCUUGGCAUCGAGUCAAAAUACAUCUCAACAAUAAGAGGUAUUGGUAGUCUGGUUAACCUUCAAGGUUCUGUUGAGUUCCAUGUUAAAAAGGAAAAGGGGCGAACCUUAGAAGAGUUGAAGGAUAUGAAGGAUCUUCAUGGGCUUCUUAGCAUCAAGAAUCUGGAAAAUGUUCAAUGCAAAGAGGAAGCUUGUGAAGCUCAAUUGGCGAAUAAGCAACACGUGAACAUUUUAAAAUUUGAAUGGAGUGUUGCCAAUUUAGAUUUUGGUCCCAACAUAGACGCUGAAGUAUUGAACUGCUUACAACCUCAUCCUAAUCUGGAAGAACUUCACAUUGCAAGGUACAAAGGGGCAUCAUCGCCGAGGUGGUUGCAGCUGAAAACGUUGUCCCACCUGAAAUGCAUGUAUCUAGCUAAUUGCAGAAGGUGGAAGUGGCUUCCUCCUCUGGGGCAGCUUCCAUCUCUGAGGGUGUUGCACCUGAAGGAAAUGAAUUCUGUUGCUGAAAUUGGCCCUUCGUUCUAUGGUGGCUUGAUGGCAUUUCAAUCUCUAAAGGAUCUUGAAUUUGAUGACAUGCCGAAUUUAGUUCGCUGGACAGGAGAAACUGGUCACUCAUUUUUCCCUUCCCUGCAAAAGUUGAAGAUUUCAAACUGUCCAAAGUUGGAUGAAGUGCCCUUGCUUCCUUAUACAAUAAAAAGAGUGACGGUAGAACGAAGUAAAGUUUCACAUCUCAAGUUGUCCCCUCAUUGUUCAUCUAGAUCAAGCAAAUUCAUGUUGGAAAUUUCUUCCGCAAGUAUUCUGAGUGAAGGGUUCUUAUUACAUCAGCAACACCUUGAAGCUACCGAGGUUCUAAACAUUAGGAGUUGUUGGGGAUCAGUGGCUGCCGAAAAAUUUAAGUUACUAACAUCACUAAGAAAACUACGGUUAUGGCAGUGCGACAUGGAUGAUGCGAGGCUUAAUUUGUGUUUGCAACACUUAACUGUUCUCGCUUCCUUAGAGAUAAUUGACUGCAAGAAUAUCAUGUCAUUUGACUUGCCAGUUGGUUCAAGGUAUUUGACAACACUUCAACACUUGUGCUUUGAGAAUUGCCAGAACCUUUCCUCCGUGGCUACCUUGGAAAGCUCCAUUUUCCUGAAAAGUUUGAUCAUUGAGAGGUGUCCAAUGGUCACAGCAGAGUCAUUACCUUCUGAGAUGGAGAGAAUGAUAUCUCUUAAUAAACUGAGUAUAUCACACUGCCCAGGGUUUCAGUCAUUACCGAGCAGUAUCCCGUCAUCCUUGGAAUUUCUUCAUUUGGCUGGGUGCGACUCAAGGUUGACUAAAGGGUUACUUGAGAGGCAAGGUCCAGAGUGGGAGAAGAUUGCCUUUAUCUCCCAAAUCACAGUACACUAAUUGUAUGGCCUGUGUUAGUUGUUGCACGGCUAUAACAAGAUGAACCUUGUCUUUGUGCUAUGCCAUGACUAGGCACUAGUAACUUUUGACAUUGCAGUGUCGUGCCUUCAAUAAAAGCUAGGCAGCACCAAGCAGAGCUUCUGCCGAUUGUUUGUGUGAGGUUAUGGAGCAAAUAUCUGGAUUUCAUACAUGAAGUUAGCACUCUACAUACACCUGAAAGCAUAUCUACAAAUAGGACUGAAAUUUCUUGAUGAGAUUCUUGGGGACUCCAAAGCUUUGUGAGGAAGCAACCACUAGCUACUGGCCAAUGCAAAUACGGUCGAUCAUUUGAGGGCAUGGCCUACUUAUGUUACCACAAGCUAAAUUCGCUGGAACUUAUAGAGUAGAAGCUCUUGUGGUCAUAGUUUAAAAACCUAAUUUGAAUGCAUUGCCUGCCCGCAUAUGGAGUCUUCAUCUGUCACUUCACUUCCCCAUGAAGUUGCUUUGCUUUGGCAUUUGAGUUAAUCUCGAAGAUGUGUGACUCUCGGAAGGUAUAAUCCGAGAAAGGUGAAGGUAUAAUCCGAGAAAGGUGAAGAUGUGUGACUCUUUGAGCAAGUGUUUUCAACUUUGAAGAGAGAGCAUACCACAGGUUUUGUGAGAUACUAACUAGUUACUGCAAUGUAAUAGGCUGUCAUAUCGACAGGAUAAAUGGAUUAGUGCUCCCUCUUACUUGUAUAGUUGUUUCCUAUAAUAAACCUGAAUACCAUUCAUAUAAAUGUUUGAAUUUGAAAUAAUGUGUGUGCUCUACAUAAAUUGCUGGCAUACUACAAGUUGUACAGAAAUCCUUGUUUCCUCAUUAUCGUGUGCCAUAUUGUAGGAGUUGCCAUUCUUUACUUGACUUGAGACGUUUUUGUAAUGUGCGCAUCCUUCGCCAAAAUAUUUGUCCAUUUCAGGAGUCAGGAUCAUAAGGUGUGAUUGAACUCAAUUGGGGACUGAAUUAGGCGAAUCACAGGGAAAGAAUUAAGGGUAUCUUUUUGUUUCGUGGGAAAGAAUUAGGGGUAUCUUGUUGCCAUGUAAAUCAAACUUGUACUUAGUUGUAUCCUUUCUAUUCCAAACUAGAUGCCAUUUUGUUUUUUUCAUGGCCACUUUUACUUUAUAUGAAUACGGUGUGUAAAGGAGUCGGGAAAAUUAUGAAACCUAUGCACGGCAAACCUAAACAUAACCAACUAAAAUUGUGUUACUAAUUAUUACUUUUCAAAGAUAGAGAAGUUUGACUGCACACCUAAAGCAUCAUCCAUUUUGGAAUGGAGCUAGUAGUAGUAGUAACUAAAAAAGUGUUUGUGAAUACGCCGUUCUGUCUGUGUUAACAAGGAUGAUCAUUGUACCCGACGUACAGAACUAGACAGAUAUGAUGCGUUGAGCAUCAGAACUUUGGUUUUACCUCUCCUUAUUGUCCCAUUCAGAUUCGGAAAUUUCCUUGAAGCUGACAGAAACUUGCCCUACACUCCUUCAUAGAAUCAUUCCUUCAAAUGGGAAUAUGCUGUCCAGAUAAGCCAUUGUGGUUUGGAGUUAUUCUUUGUUUCCUAGUGACCUAAGAGAAAUUUAACUGCAUCUUUAAAACAAUAAUCUACCAUCAACAGAAGGCAUUGCGCAUCUGUGCACACAAUAAACCACAGAAUGAUCAUUUGGGGGAGGCUAAGUACAGGUGGAGCUAACAUGUGCAUGAAUGCUGUUAAUUAAUGCACUAAAGGAAAUAAAGGACAUCUGAGCUCAUGGAUCUGGCAACUGUACCUCGACCUGCAAGUGAGAAGGUACACCUGGCAGUGGGGGAUGAUGCUAAGCAGUGUUGGCUUACUCUCCGAUGGGCUUUGCACUUCAUCCCACCACAGAUGUUGUUAGUUCUUGUCCA